AUCACUUCUCGGCCUUUCAGCUAAGACAAAGUGUAGUAUCUGUUCUUAUCAGUUUAAUAUUUGAUACGUCUUCUAUCCAAGGACAAUAUAUUAAAUGGAUUUUUGGAGCUGGGAGUCAGAAGAGGAGCUUUCUCCAUCCGCUCCGUGCUUCGACCUGGUAUAGAGGUACCUCCAGGAACAGUGCCCGAAAA